rnacentral:lncRNA from 1 species
AUAUCCUUAGACUUCCACAGCAAAAAAAGGGAGUGAGAAGUAAGGAAGUAACAAAGUUGUUCAUGAUCCUGGAAAUGAAAUAGAGCUGAAAGUCCAUAAAGGAAUCAAGAAGUAAAAAUAAAUGUGAGGCUACCUGCAUAAAAGCUUGAGAAGCAGUGAUUCAGGCAACACCUUGAAUGUGUCCCCCAGAAACUGGGAGUUAAAAGGAUUUUGGGAAGUUCUCACUACCCAACAGGUAGUGAGACCCAGAGGAGCAUCUCAUCUGCAUGGAAAAGCCUUCCUCCUUCAUGGCUGUUUAAGCUGACAUGAAGGAGACAAGACAAGCCUCACAGAGACAAAGCUGAACUGUCAAAAUGCCUGAGGGCAGGAGGGCUCCUCAGUAUUAAGCCUGUGCUUCUCAGA